GACGAACGCUGGCGGCGUGCCUAAUACAUGCAAGUAGAACGCACAGUUUAUACCGUAGCUUGCUACACCAUAGACUGUGAGUUGCGAACGGGUGAGUAACGCGUAGGUAACCUGCCUGGUAGCGGGGGAUAACUAUUGGAAACGAUAGCUAAUACCGCAUAAUAUUAAUUAUUGCAUGAUAAUUAAUUGAAAGGUGCAAUUGCACCACUACCAGAUGGACCUGCGUUGUAUUAGCUAGUAGGUGAGGUAACGGCUCACCUAGGCGACGAUACAUAGCCGACCUGAGAGGGUGGUCGGCCACACUGGGACUGAGACACGGCCCAGACUCCUACGGGAGGCAGCAGUAGGGAAUCUUCGGCAAUGGACGAAAGUCUGACCGGGCAACGCCGCGUGAGUGAAGAAGGUUGUCGGAUCGUAAAGCUCUGUUGUAAGAGAAGAACGGGUGUGAGAGUGGAAAGUUCACACUGUGACGGUAUCUUACCAGAAAGGGACGGCUAACUACGUG
rnacentral:rRNA from 1 species